rnacentral:rRNA from 1 species
CAGCAGCCGCGGUAAUACGAAGGGGGCUAGCGUUAUUCGGAAUUACUGGGCGUAAAGCGCACGUAGGCGGCUUUGUAAGUUAGAGGUGAAAGCCUGGAGCUCAACUCCAGAAUUGCCUUUAAGACUGCAUCGCUUGAAUCCAGGAGAGGUGAGUGGAAUUCCGAGUGUAGAGGUGAAAUUCGUAGAUAUUCGGAAGAACACCAGUGGCGAAGGCGGCUCACUGGACUGGUAUUGACGCUGAGGUGCGAAAGCGUGGGGAGCAAUCAGGAUUAGAGACCCCCGUAGUCCCUGUCUCUUAUAC